AUGGCCAUUGCUUUCCUGGUCCUUAUUAUGAUGUCUGCUACUACAUUGCCAUCCUGCCAUGCAAGAGUUGGCGAGCCAACAUGCGAGGAUCUGCAACAAGGAUGCUCUGUACCUGAUUGCAUGGAUUUAUGCAACAAAAAACACCUGGGUACCCAUACCUUCUAUUGCAACAACAUUGGUCAAUGUUGUUGCAAACGUCUAUAG
rnacentral:rRNA from 1 species